GCCUCUGUAGCUCAGUAGGUGGAGCACCACAUUGGUAAAAAUCUACAAAAAUGUGGAGGUCGUGAGUUCAAUUCUCACCAGAGGCU
rnacentral:tRNA from 1 species